rnacentral:rRNA from 1 species
UACGUAGGGUGCGAGCGUUAAUCGGAAUUACUGGGCGUAAAGCGUGCGCAGGCGGUUUUGUAAGCCAGAUGUGAAAUCCCCGGGCUUAACCUGGGAACUGCGCUUGUAACUGGCAAGCUAGAGUGUGGCAGAGGGGGGUGGAAUUCCACGUGUAGCAGUGAAAUGCGUAGAGAUGUGGAGGAACACCGAUGGCGAAGGCAGCCCCCUGGGUCAAGAUUGACGCUCAUGCACGAAAGCGUGGGGAGCAAACAGG